UAAAACAUUAAAUGCAAAUCUUCAUUGUCCUGGCAUAAAAGAAAAUAAGACUACACACAAUUAAAGGAAUGUGAACAUUUAAAAAAAACUUGAUCUCAAUGAUUCCCAAAUAAAUUAACAUAUGCACCCAGUUGACCCUCAUGAUGAAGUCCACCCCCAUGCUGCAUCAAAGUGUUCAUGAUAGAGUUUACAUGUUUCCUCUUCUUCAUUGCUUCAUUUGGACAAGUGAGACUGUUCUUUAUCUAGUCUCAUUUGCCUUCACAUCUGUCUGGACUAGUGCCAUGUAUUUUGCCUGUGUGUGUGUUUUUGCAUCAGUUAUACUUUUCAGCAGCCUCUUCUCAGACAGCCACACAGCAAGAUGAUGUGUGAUACAAGUAAAAUAGUCCCAGUGCUGAUGAGCAUUAUCGCAGUGCAAAAAGAGGACAAGCAGUAUGGUGCAGCACCUCAGUAAGGCCCAUCUGAGGAUCCUCAACCAGAGCUUCAGCAGUACUGCCAACUCAAACCCAGAACAAACCACAUAGUGGUUCAUCCACUGACAUAAGAAGGUGCACGUCACCUGGUCACUCAUCACUGAUCCAGAACAGUUAUCCCUGGUUCACAGAGACAGCACUUUGGCCCUCUGGAUGGUGUUAAGGCAACAAAAUAUGAUCUUGCUGGCUUGGCUCUGACCGAGGAUUGCAGGAUAUACCACCUUAAAGUGUCUAAGUGAGGAGUGUGCUGCACACUUUUACCCGCACAUCCCAAACAGAAUAGCAAGUGUCAUUUUCAGGCUGACACAUGAGGCCAUCAGCAGAGAAUGGCUCACCACCCGUCUGACCCUCCAACCCCUAACAGAGGGAAACCCCCUUCUGGACUGAAUCUGUGUUCUGACUCAGAAAGCCAACUGUUGCCAAAGAGCUGAAACACCACCAUGACAGACAUGACCAUAACACCUACAUAAAUCAUAACCACAAUGCAGCAGCACAGGGGCACAGUGGUUAGUGCUGUCACCUCAUAGCUAGACGUUUCCGGGUCUGAGCCCGGGCCGACCCAGUUCUUCUGUGCGGAGUAAAAAAUGGCAAAAAUGUAGUUUUUAAUGGGUGAAUUAAACAACAAAACAAUCAUUCAUGUAUGUUUUAGUGUACUCAUGGGCUUCUUUGCCACAGACUCGAGGCAGUUUGUU